UGUACUGCCACUGGUUCAAUUGGAAAAAGAAUGGCCAGGUGAUCACCUCCAAAGACAAAACCUGAAGACCUCCUUCCCAACUUGAAAACUAAUUGAUAGUCCCAUUUCUAAUCAUAAGGGUGCCUGCAGGCUCUGCCCUGGGGUACAUUCAAACUUUCUGCUUGGGCUUGUUUCCUAGGUGAGCAAUAAUUGGUGAAGGAGAUGCUGGUGGUUCAGCUCAAGGAAUGCAUGCUGGUGACUGUGACUCAUCCUAGGAGUCUUGGCUCAGUGCAAGCACAAAGGACCCACGGAUGAGGAACGAUGUGUGCAGCUUACUUCACUUGGAAUGACAUUCUCCAGGGGCAUCCAUGUUGCUGCAAAUGGCAUUAUGUUGUCGUUUUGUAUGGCUGAAUAGUAGCUUUUAAUACAUGCAUGUCCCUUGACCCAGCAGAUCAUCUCUACGAAUUUACCUAAGAGAAUAAUGAGAGGUUGCAGAGACACGCAUUAAAGCAACAGGACAGAGUGGAAAUCAAACUACUUAACUGACCAUUUUUGGAAAAGAAGUUCUUGAAGGGAGCACAGAAAUUGAAGAAUAAAUGAAUAGCAAAUCCAGCUAAUCUCAAAGAUUGAAGCCAUUUUCUUUGGUGAAAAGUUUUCCUGAAAGUGAAGGGUGAACUGCUAAAUUAGAACCUCCUAGGAGGUGAGAAUUUUUCAGUGGCUGGAAGACCAGCCGGAAGAGAACCUGUGUGUCUCAGCCACGACUCGGUACCCGCCAGCCACACACACCUGCUGGGGACAGGCGACCUGCAGCCACAGGCACCUGCCCCUCCAGCUGUACUUCUAGAACAACCACUGGCUAUGCCCGCAUUCUGCACACGGCCCCUGGAGCGCCUACUAUGUAGCAGGAAAAAAGCUUCAGCCUCCUAGACCUUUCCUGAGUUUCAAAGGGCCAACUGGAACAGUUACUAAUCAGGGGAGUGAAGGAACCCAGAAAUAAAGGAGGAACAGUUAAGAAACAAUAGUGCAGCGAUUGGGCGGGUCCUGUUCCUCCUCAAGGAAGAUACGUAACAAUAUAUCUUUGAGAUCUUCUGCAGGAACUAAGGCCCUGACCCAGGUGAAAGAUGGUACUCAGGCUGAGCACAAGCACGUGGACCCCAUAUUGGAACCAGGAGGCUGAUUGAGAUUCCGGAACACAACCCUGUUACCUCCCCACCAGCCAAUCAGAGGAAGGUCACACCCCGUGCAGCCCUGCCCCCUAAAUUUUGCCUGUAAAAACUCUUCCUCGAAAACCAUCUGAGAGUUUAGGCUUUUUGGGUACGUGCUGCUCGUUUUCCUUGCUCAGCCCUUGCAGCAAACUUUUCUCUGCUUCAAACUCCGACGUCUUGGUUAGCUUGGCCUCACUGUGCGUCCGGCACACGAACUUGGAUUCGAAACAGAAAGCUUGCUUCUCUGCAUCAAGCUCUUCCUGAUACUGAGGGAACUGCAAUGAUCACGGCCAGCCAGGCCCACGAGCAUCUUCCCUGAGACAAUCUUUUUUAGAACACAUUUUGACAGGCUUAAUUUGUUCAUUUGUAAGAAAGUACCUGCCAGAUACUGAAGUCUGGAGAAACUUUCAACUGGUGUUCUGUGAAAAAAGUGGUCUGUGAAGCUUUUGAUCCAGUUCAUUCCUUUCCCAACUCCUUCUUGUUUCAAUUCUGUCAUAAAUCUACAAAAAUGCCAUGAACACAUCAGAGUCAAGAUGCUGUGAUGUUACUUACUUUUAGCUAAAAAAGGUUCGGGUACACUGAGCCGACUCCGGGAGGCCUGCUCACUUCAUCCCAGGGUCCGUGCCUGCACCAUUACCCUGCCGCCCGGGAGCAGCUGGACUUUGACCCAAGUCCUACAGAGCCCAGUCAGAGGAAGGUGGAGAAUGUCAAUCAUCUGGAUUCCUGCCUGAACAUUCAUCCGCUGUGAGCAGAGAAUACAAAAGCAUCCUGAACAAACGGUCUUUUCUCUGAACACUGAAUUUAAUUCUAAAUCGAAUUCUGAAGAAAUGGACAUUUAGGAAGAAAAUGCUCUAUCAAAGCCCUGAUGAGAGCUAGGAAGGGGAAUGAUGUGAAAGGAGAUGCCAAAUUAAAAAAAUUUUUUUUUCAAAAGGUUCAGAAAAAGCCUACAGCCAAAAAAUGCUAAAAGAUGGUUUUAAAUAAAUGAAAGCUUUCUAAAAAUAAAAUGCUGACAUUACCAUCUUGAAUAAUCCCAAUUAUGAUGA